rnacentral:rRNA from 1 species
AACGAACGCUGGCGGCAUGCCUAACACAUGCAAGUCGAACGAGACCUUCGGGUCUAGUGGCGCACGGGUGCGUAACGCGUGGGAACCUGCCCUUAGGUUCGGAAUAACUCCCCGAAAGGGGUGCUAAUACCGGAUAAUGUCUUCGGACCAAAGAUUUAUCGCCUUUGGAUGGGCCCGCGUUGGAUUAGCUAGUUGGGAGGGUAAAAGCCUACCAAGGCGACGAUCCAUAGCUGGUGUGAGAGGAUGAUCAGCCACACUGGGACUGAGACACGGCCCAGACUCCUACGCGAGGCAGCAGUGGGGAAUAUUGGACAAUGGGCGAAAGCCUGAUCCAGCAAUGCCGCGUGAGUGAUGAAGGCCUUAGGGUUGUAAAGCUCUUUUACCCGGGAUGAUAAUGACAGUACCGGGAGAAUAAGCUCCGGCUAACUCCGUG